GACGAACGCUGGCGGCGUGCUUAACACAUGCAAGUCGAGCGGUAAGGCCCUUUCGGGGGUACACGAGCGGCGAACGGGUGAGUAACACGUGGGUGACCUGCCCUCAGCUCUGGGAUAAGCCUGGGAAACCGGGUCUAAUACUGGAUAUGACUCCAUGACGCAUGUUGUGGGGUGGAAAGCCUUGUGCGGCUGAGGAUGGGCCCGCGGCCUAUCAGCUUGUUGGUGGGGNGAUGGCCUACCAAGGCGACGACGGGUAGCCGGCCUGAGAGGGCGACCGGCCACACUGGGACUGAGACACGGCCCAGACUCCUACGGGAGGCAGCAGUGGGGAAUCUUGCGCAAUGGGCGAAAGCCUGACGCAGCGACGCCGCGUGAGGG
rnacentral:rRNA from 1 species